GUCGACUUUGGGGAGUCAAAUGUUUUGGCCGACUUAGUUCAGCGAAUGUUUUACUCUUUAGGAAACUAAGAUACUUUGACCACUUUGGCUUAGGGCAUUUAAAGGCAGCAUGCUGUAAUAAAAGGCCCUCAUUCAUGGUAUUAAUGCACUCAAUAUUCAGAAACAGUGCCCUCCUUUUGUUAUGAUCAGAUUCCAUCUGUGUUAUCUCUCGAGGAUAAGGAGGUUCAGGGAAGAGACGGCUGCAAUCAUAGACAAUGUCGUCUUCAUGAUGGUCUAGUUUACUGAAUGACCAGUUUCCAACAUUAAAAGGUAACCCAUAAUGCAUAAGAAUAGGUUCAACACCCUCUCGUGGAGUAUAGCCAGGGUAUAUCAUCAAGUUAUCAUUGAUCUUAUGCCGGAGUCCUACCUCGGCAGCACCAAAUGAAUAUCCAUACAUCUCACUGAUCCACCCUGUUCCGUAGAUAUCACCAGUAUAAUUGGUUGGCCAGUGAGCUCUGUCUUCCCGUACUUCUUCAGUCUUUGAAAGCCAUAGGGGUGCCAAAGCUCGAAGAUCAUCUAUAUGCAUGGCUAAUAGCCCACCAACCUUGUCACAAAAUUCAGGAUGCUUUGUAUGCAGCUUUGCAAGAAUAUUGUCGCAUCCAAUUAAAUACCCAUAAUACGCAGAAACAGGCUUCCCUUUCUCUGCCCCAAUCUCCCAUGGCACGAUUGGACCUCGAAUGAUCAUGUCUGCGUCCAGUAUGACAACCCAAUCAACAUUUUCUGCCUCUUUGCUGUAUUUAAGCCAGUGAACAACUCCAGCCGGUUUGUUAAUUGCAGGAUACCAGUCACCAGUUUUAGGAUGUCUACUCAUAGAAGGAACCUCAAAAGUAGGAGCCAGCUCCAUCCCUCUAUACCCCUUUCUCUCAUCUUCAGUACAGCUCAACAAUCUUGUAAUAGGUCCAGGUUGCUGAGCCUUCCUAUAACUAUGCAUAAGUCCAACCGUUUGCCAAUCGAAGUAAUUCUGACAUUCCACAGAAAACAAAGUGUGGAUCCUCCAUGGUGCCUUUUGGGUAUCAAUCUUUUCUGGUUCUUGACCACUUAUUAAACUCAAUGUCAGCACCAAAAACACCAAGAUUGCUUUUUUCUCCAUCAUAAACACCAAAACUCAAAAGGGUAUCUCUGUAUUGAUCUCAAUUUCAUGAUUUUGGUAGAAAGUCAAA
rnacentral:misc_RNA from 1 species